AAAGGAAUAGACGGGGGCCCGCACAAGCGGAGGAACAUGUGGUUUAAUUCGAUGAUACGCGAGGAACCUUACCCGGGCUUGAAGUGCAGAGGAAUAUGGUGGAAACAUCAUAGCCAGCAAUGGUCUCUGUGUAGGUGCUGCAUGGUUGUCGUCAGCUCGUGCCGUGAGGUGUCGGCUUAAGUGCCAUAACGAGCGCAACCCUUAUCGUCAGUUGCCAUCAGGUAAUGCUGGGAACUCUGACGAGACUGCCACCGUAAGGUGUGAGGAAGGUGGGGAUGACGUCAAAUCAGCACGGCCCUUACGUCCGGGGCGACACACGUGUUACAAUGGGCGGUACAGAGGGCAGCUACCCCGCGAGGGGAUGCCAAUCUCAUAAAGCCGUUCUCAGUUCGGAUCGGAGUCUGCAACUCGACUCCGUGAAGCUGGAUUCGCUAGUAAUCGCGCAUCAGCCAUGGCGCGGUGAAUACGUUCCCGGGCCUUGUACACACCGCCCGU
rnacentral:rRNA from 1 species